rnacentral:rRNA from 1 species
CCUACGGGAGGCAGCAGUGGGGAAUUGUUCACAAUGGGCGCAAGCCUGAUGACGCAACGCCGCGUGGAGGAUGAAGGUCUUCGGAUCGUAAACUCCUGUUGCUCGGGACGCGGUACCGGGUGAGGAAGCCCCGGCUAACUCUGUGCCAGCAGCCGCGGUAAUACAGAGGGGGCAAGCGUUGUUCGGAAUUACUGGGCGUAAAGGGCGCGUAGGCGGCCUGUUAAGUCGAACGUGAAAUCCCCGGGCUCAACCCGGGAACUGCGUCCGAUACUGGCAGGCUUGAAUCCGGGAGAGGGAUGUGGAAUUCCAGGUGUAGCGGUGAAAUGCGUAGAUAUCUGGAGGAACACCGGUGGCGAAGGCGGCAUCCUGGACCGGAUUGACGCUGAGGCGCGAAAGCCAGGGGAGCAAACGGGAUUAGAUACCCUUGUAGUC